rnacentral:rRNA from 1 species
GGGAAAGGUGAAAAGAACGCCGAGAAGGCGAGUGAAAUAGUACCUGAAACCGUGUGCUUACAAGCGGUCGGAGUCUGCAUUUAUGUGGAUGACGGCGUGCCUUUUGUAUAAUGAGCCUACGAGUUGCUCCUGUUGUGCGAGGUUAAGCCCCUAAGGGGUGGAGCCGUAGCGAAAGCGAGUCUGAAUAGGGCGUGCAGUACAGCGGGGCAGACGCGAAACCAAGUGAUCUAUCCAUGGUCAGGGUGAAGCGGUGGUAAGACACCGUGGAGGCCCGAACCGGUUGACGUUGAAAAGUCUUCGGAUGAACUGUGGAUAGGGGUGAAAGGCCAAUCAAACUUGGAGAUAGCUCGUACUCCCCGAAAUAUAUUUAGGUAUAGCGUCUGGUUUUGUCUGUCCGGAGGUAGAGCACUGAUUCGGCUAGGGCCCUUCACCGGGUACCAAACCGAGACAAACUCCGAAUGCCGGCACAGAGCCACCAGGCAGUCAGUCGUGGGGUGAUAACGUCCUACGGCGAGAGGGGAACAACCCAGACCACCAGCUAAGGCCCCUAAAUCCGGGCUAAGUUGAUCAAAGAAAGUUGAGUUGCUCAGACAACUAGGAGGUUGGCUUAGAAGCAGCCAUUCCUUUAAAGAGUGCGUAAUAGCUCACUAGUCAAGCGACUCGGCGUCGAUAAUAAUCGGGCAUAAGUCGGUUACCGAAGCUGUGGGAUUUAACGAUCGGUAGGGGAGCAUUCCAGUCAGCGCAGAAGGUGCCACCGCGAGGGGUGCUGGAGCGGCUGGAAGCGAAACUGUAGGCAUGAGUAACGAUAAGAAGGGUGAAAAACCCUUCCACCGUAAACCCAAGGGUUCCUGAUCAACGCUAAUCGGAUCAGGGUUAGUCGAGACCUAAGGUGUACCCGGUGAGGCCGGGGAAGCCGAUGGCAAAGCGGUUAAAUAUUCCGCUACCGAAGCCAGCGUAUGGCUAAGGCGUGACGCAGAAGUGACACUCCCGCGUGCUGACGAAUGCACGUUAAAGGGCGUAGGCCGGGGGGCAGGCAAAUCCGCCUCCCAGAGGCUGAACCCCGACAGUACCCGGACCCGCAAGGGGAAGGGAUAGUGGAGGUAAUCAUGCUGCCAAGAAAAGCGUCGUAGUUUGCUAGAGUCGCUCGUACCCCAAACCGACACAGGUGGGUGAGGAGAGUAUCCUCAGGUGCUCGAGUAAUUCAUGGCUAAGGAACUAGGCAAAUUAGAUCCGUAACUUCGGGAGAGGGCAUAGAUCGGCCCCAGCACCUCGGUGAGUUCCAGAAAGCCGCUGUGCGUCAGGCCGUCCGCCGCGCCGAUUCUAC